rnacentral:rRNA from 1 species
UGGGAAAGCAGGUGGGACGACCAAAACAACCAGGAGGUUGGCUUAGAAGCAGCCAUCCUUUAAAGAUAGCGUAACAGCUCACUGGUCUAAACAAGUUGUCUUGCGGCGAAGAUGUAACGGGGCUCAAGCCAUGAGCCGAAGCUGAGGAUGCACAUAGUGCAUGGUAGCAGAGCGUAGUGUGACAUAACUCCAUGUGUCCUUAAUCCCCUCGGGGAUGUUGGACACGCGGGGUUUUCAGUGAAGCGGGCGCGUGAGCGAUCCCGUGGAGAGAUCACUAGUGAGAAUGAUGACAUGAGUAGCGACAAAGAGUGUGAGAGACACUCUCGCCGAAAGUCCAAGGGUUCCUGCUUAAAGCUAAUCUGAGCAGGGUAAGCCGACCCCUAAGGCGAGGCCGAAAGGCGUAGUCGAUGGGA